rnacentral:rRNA from 1 species
AUUGCGACCUCAGCUCAGGCGGGGCUACCCGCUGAGUUUAAGCAUAUCAAUAAGCGGAGGAAAAGAAACUAACAAGGAUUCCCCUA